CCUGCGGAGGGAUCAUUACCGAGUUUACAACUCCCAAACCCCUGUGAACAUACCACUUGUUGCCUCGGCGGAUCAGCCCGCUCCCGGUAAAACGGGACGGCCCGCCAGAGGACCCCUAAACUCUGUUUCUAUAUGUAACUUCUGAGUAAAACCAUAAAUAAAUCAAAACUUUCAACAACGGAUCUCUUGGUUCUGGCAUCGAUGAAGAACGCAGCAAAAUGCGAUAAGUAAUGUGAAUUGCAGAAUUCAGUGAAUCAUCGAAUCUUUGAACGCACAUUGCGCCCGCCAGUAUUCUGGCGGGCAUGCCUGUUCGAGCGUCAUUUCAACCCUCAAGCACAGCUUGGUGUUGGGACUCGCGUUAAUUCGCGUUCCCCAAAUUGAUUGGCGGUCACGUCGAGCUUCCAUAGCGUAGUAGUAAAACCCUCGUUACUGGUAAUCGUCGCGGCCACGCCGUUAAACCCCAACUUCUGAAUGUGAC
rnacentral:rRNA from 1 species